CCUACGGGUGGCAGCAGUGAGGAAUAUUGGUCAAUGGGCGAGAGCCUGAACCAGCCAAGUCGCGUGCGGGAGUACUGCCCUCUGGGUUGUAAACCUCUUUUGUCGGGGAGCAAAAGCCGGAUGUGUCCGGCUUUGAGAGUACCCGAAGAAAAAGCAUCGGCUAACUCCGUGCCAGCGGCCGCGGUAAUACGGAGGAUGCGUGCGUUAUCCGGAUUUAUUGGGUUUAAGGGGUGCGCAGGCGGAGUUUUAAUUCAGCGGUAAAAUCGUGGGGCUCAACCCCAUCCAGCCGUUGAAACUGGGGAUCUAGAGUGGGCGAGAGGUAUGCGGAAUGCGUGGUGUAGCGGUGAAAUGCAUAGAUAUCACGCAGAACCCCGAUUGCGAAGGCAGCAUACCGGUGCACAACUGACGCUCAGGCACGAAAGCGUGGGUAGCGAACAGGAUUAGAUACCCCAGUAGUC
rnacentral:rRNA from 1 species